rnacentral:rRNA from 1 species
CUUGAUCCCUGGCUCAGAUUGAACGCUGGCGGCAGGCCUAACACAUGCAAGUCGAGCGGCAGCACGGGUACUUGUACCUGGUGGCGAGCGGCGGACGGGUGAGUAAUGCCUAGGAAUCUGCCUGGUAGUGGGGGAUAACGCUCGGAAACGGACGCUAAUACCGCAUACGUCCUACGGGAGAAAGCAGGGGACCUUCGGGCCUUGCGCUAUCAGAUGAGCCUAGGUCGGAUUAGCUAGUUGGUGAGGUAAUGGCUCACCAAGGCGACGAUCCGUAACUGGUCUGAGAGGAUGAUCAGUCACACUGGAACUGAGACACGGUCCAGACUCCUACGGGAGGCAGCAGUGGGGAAUAUUGGACAAUGGGCGAAAGCCUGAUCCAGCCAUGCCGCGUGUGUGAAGAAGGUCUUCGGAUUGUAAAGCACUUUAAGUUGGGAGGAAGGGCAGUUACCUAAUACGUAUCUGUUUUGACGUUACCGACAGAAUAAGCAC